rnacentral:misc_RNA from 1 species
GAUGAAGAACGUAGCGAAAUGCGAUAAGUAAUGUGAAUUGCAGAAUUCAGUGAAUCAUCGAAUCUUUGAACGCACAUUGCGCCCGCCAGUAUUCUGGCGGGCAUGCCUGUUCGAGCGUCAUUUCAACCAUCAAGCCCCAGGCUUGUGUUGGAGCCCUGCGGCUGCCAGCCUCCCAAAACCAGUGGCGGGCUCGCUAUCACACCGAGUGCAGUAGUUUACUCUUCGCUCAGGGCGUGUGGCGGGUGCUAGCCGUAAAACCCCCAACUUCUCAAGGUUGACCUCGGAUCAGGUAGGAAUACCCGCUGAACUUAAGCAUAUCAAUAAGCGGAGGA